AGAGUUUGAUCCUGGCUCAGGAUGAACGCCAGGCGGCAUGCCUAAUACAUGCAAGUCGAACGAGAGGAAGGAAAGCUUGCUUUUCUAAAUCUAGUGGCGAACGGGUGAGUAACACGUAGGUAACCUGCCCAUGUGCCCGGGAUAACUUCUGGAAACGGAUGCUAAAACCGGAUAGGUAGCAGACAAGCAUUUGACUGCUAUUAAAGUGGCUAAGGCCAUGAACAUGGAUGGACCUGCGGUGCAUUAGCUAGUUGGUGAGGUAACGGCCCACCAAGGCGACGAUGCAUAGCCGGCCUGAGAGGGCGGACGGCCACAUUGGGACUGAGACACGGCCCAAACUCCUACGGGAGGCAGCAGUAGGGAAUUUUCGUCAAUGGGGGGAACCCUGAACGAGCAAUGCCGCGUGAGUGAGGAAGGUCUUCGGAUCGUAAAGCUCUGUUGUAAGAGAAAAACGGCACUCAUAGGGAAUGAUGAGUGAGUGAUGGUAUCUUACCAGAAAGUCACGGCUAACUACGUGCCAGCAGCCGCGGUAAUACGUAGGUGGCGAGCGUUAUCCGGAAUGAUUGGGCGUAAAGGGUGCGUAGGUGGCAGAUCAAGUCUGGAGUAAAAGGUAUGGGCUCAACCCGUACUUGCUCUGGAAACUGAUCAGCUAGAGAACAGAAGAGGACGGCGGAACUCCA
rnacentral:rRNA from 1 species